AUGGCAGUGAGCAAGGAACAUAUCUGCUUUUACUGUCAACAGCGAGAUCAGCAGCUGGCAGUCCACCUAAAAAAAAUACCAGAACCUAUUCUGAGGUUCAGCAGAAAUCAUGUUAAAGCAGCACUACACAGGUAUUCCUCUGAUCUCAGCAAGGAGGAGGAUGCAAACAAAUGCAGGUGUCUCUCCCUGUGCCAGCCCGUGGUGCCUGAGGACACAGUGCAAAGAAGGAAUGCGACAAGAAACGGCUGCCAGAGGCUUCUCAACUACAUUGCAGGAUACAGGAAAAAAGGAACAUGGACCAGUGCUCUGUGCUCUGGACAUCAGUAUCUGAACCUUUGUGGCACAAGCGAGAAAAGCUAA
rnacentral:lncRNA from 1 species